AUGGAUACUUAUAGUAAUCUACCAAUUGGAUCUUCUGGGAGGGACAAAAACAAUGUGCAUUAUAGAUGUUCACCUCACCAACUUCCGCCAUUUAUGAAAUGUCUUAGUGACAAGCAGAUAGGUUUUGUCAGGAAAAUUGGGUUUGAGAGCAUCUUGUCAAUGCAAGAUUUUAAGAUGGAUAAAGAUCUAACCCUAUGGCUGGUUGAUAAGUUCAAUUGUGACACCGAGGAGCUAGAAUUUGACGAAGGCAUAUCAAUUCCAGUGAGGCCCCUUGUGAAGUUUGUCCUUGGAAUUCCUUCAGGACCCAUCAAAGUUAUAGAGGGUCUCCAUGUCGACGAUGCUCUCUACGAACAGUACACUUGGGAUACGAGAGGGAAGAAGGCGAAGGAAGUGGCGGAAGAAAUGUGCAGCAUAACAGAGGAGGAACCGUUCUGCAUAGCCUUUAUGAUGGCGAUACUUGCAAUUUAUCUAGCACCAAAUACAUCUGUGAGUGUCAGCAGGUCAUUUCUAGGAGCUGCUCGACAGGUUGGUAAUCUCAAACAGAUGGAUUGGUGCAAUUUGGUUGCUGAUUGCCUAUUCAAAGGAAUCAAGGAUUACAAACAAUCGGAUAGAUUGUGUGUCCAUGUGAAGGGCUCUGUGCACAUUCUGAGUGUCAUUUUCAUCGAUCUUGCAAAACACCCUACACUCAUAGUUCCUGAUGGCUUUCCACGCUUGAGUGUUGUCACUACGGAAAUGGGUUGCUUCACAUCCAAAUGGGUAGUUGCACAUCCCUUUGGUAGCUUCGUGCCGGUACGCUGUCUAGAAGAGUCUGUCUAUGCUCCGGUGCUUAAUAACAUGCCAAAUGGUAACACUGUUGAAGGAGUAAAAUGCUCUGAUUCUGAUUCAAAUACUGAUGCUCUGGCCGAUCAGUUUGCAAUCACCGACACCGAUCAGAAUAACAACAAGCAUCCCAUUUUAGCAGAGCUUGGCAAUGCCAGAACAACCCAUAAUACAUCAAGCUCGCCCAUUGUUGAACAUGUAGUGUUAGAUACACCAGCUCGAGCAUCAGUUGCAGCGCCCAGUUCUUUGACAGAACACAUAAUUUUUCCAACAAGUGGCGAGCAAUUGCAGUCUGCUGGUCCUUCUGAUGAACCGCAUUCGGCACAAAUUAUGGGCAGUGUGCAGGUUCCUCCGGAUACCACUGUGGAAAGGCGCAGGGGUUUGCUGUUGACGAUGGAGAAGGACGAUCGGAGCACCAAGAAGGCACGGGUGGAGCUAUCCGGGAGUGGCCAGGUGAAGCAAGCCGAAGAAGUUACCAUAAAGAUGGACAUGAGUUUGCUUAAUUGCAGCGUGUGCUCCCGCCCCAUCAAGCCCCCUGUCUUCGAGUGCAAUGCCGGGCACUUGGCUUGCUACAAAUGCCUCAUCGGGCUCCCCUAUAAACUGUGCCAGACGUGUGAGCACAGCAGUGGCUUUGGACACAUCCGGUCAUUGGACGCCAUCGUCUCCUCCUUGACAGUCAAGUGCCACCAUGAUGGCUGCGGGAGCUACGUCCCCUACUACGAGCUCGACGACCAUCAAAGUGUGUGCCCGCACGUGCCGUGCUUCUGCACGGAGCUUGGCUGUGGCUUCGUCGGUGCACCACAGGCGCUCCUCGGCCACUUGAUCGCCCUGCACGCAAUGCCAGUGCACAAGGUCCAUUAUGGCCAAGUUCACCAGCUCCGGCUGUCGGUGACGCGGCCGCGGUGCCUGCUCCAUGGGCAAGGGGACGACAGCGUGUUCCUCCUGGUCAUGGGCGUGUUCGGCGUCGUGUCUGUGGUGUGCAUCAGAGCUGAGGCAUCCUCAUGGCCGCAGUACGCUGUCAAGCUUCAGGCAAAUGGUCCGCCACCACCAAGCAGCGUAGAAGGCAGCAUUUUGUUGGCCAUGAAGCCAGUGACGAGCAGCACGAGGCCUGGGGAGGUGGCCGUGGAGGAGCUGCCGUCUUUCUUGAUGGUGCCGCCUACUUAUCUGGUUGGUUCUGGGGCAUCCAAGGAGGUGUCUCUUGACGUUCGCAUUGACAAGAUGUGA
rnacentral:rRNA from 1 species